rnacentral:rRNA from 1 species
UACGAAGGGGGCUAGCGUUGUUCGGAAUUACUGGGCGUAAAGCGCACGUAGGCGGAUGUCUAAGUCGGGGGUGAAAGCCUUGGGCUCAACCCAAGAAUUGCCUUCGAUACUGGAUAUCUUGAGACCGGGAGAGGUGAGUGGAAUUCCGAGUGUAGAGGUGAAAUUCGUAGAUAUUCGGAAGAACACCAGUGGCGAAGGCGGCUCGCUGGCCCGGUUCUGACGCUGAGGUGCGAAAGCGUGGGGAGCAAACAGG